UACGUAGGGGGCAAGCGUUAUCCGGAUUUACUGGGUGUAAAGGGAGCGUAGACGGUUAGCCAAGUCUGAAGUGAAAGCCCGCAGCUCAACUGCGGAACUGCUUUGGAAACUGGUUUACUUGAGUGCAGGAGAGGUAAGCGGAAUUCCUGGUGUAGCGGUGAAAUGCGUAGAUAUCAGGAGGAACACCGGCGGCGAAGGCGGCUUACUGGACUGUAACUGACGUUGAGGCUCGAAGGCGUGGGGAGCAAAC
rnacentral:rRNA from 1 species